AUUGACGCAUCCCUCGCCAAUCUCCCCUUCCUUGUCUGUCUUUGCCUUCCGCCAUGGCUUCCGAGCAGAUUCUCCUCCCUUCAUCGAAGGUUCGGACCUGGUUUCAUCACAGAUCUUAUUUUCUAGGGUUUCCAUUCUUCUGCUGGGCUGAGAUCAUAAACCACAUUCUUCCACUCUGUCGAGCGGGCAUUGAUGGGCUAAGCGGCCUCACAUCAUUGUUUGGUCCAAAUCAAGAGUUUUGGCCCCAUCGAUAGACACUGCAACGUUCCCACAAAACCUAGUUUAGAUUCUUUCGAAGUUAGUGCUUCUAUCUGAUGUGAUCGUCUUCGAGGAGGAGGAGGGCAACCUCUCACGCCAUCGAUGGCUUACUCCAAGUUGGCUUCGACGAGUUUGUGUCUACAAUCAGUGUUCUUGUCGUCCAUCGAGAUCAUCUUAUUUCAUGUUUCAGCUAUCACCGACAAUUUUGCGUGAACAUUAUGUGAUUGAGGGAAGUAUGCCAAUCUAUCUGAGAUGGGUCGGAUGAGAACUGCCCAUCUUACUGUGUGAAAUUUAGCCUUGAUGGAUCAUUUACGUUCCCAAGCAACAACGGAAGAGUUGGAUAUACGAUGCAUAAACGUAAUGAAGGACCUAUUUGCAGGUGCUCUGUUUCUUGUUGACGGUCAUUCUCUGUGUGUGCAAGUGUUAGCCAGAGAAAGAGGGGUGUUUGCCGCUGAACUGUAAUCAGGUUCUCUUUACUUGUUUGGGCAUUAUCUCAGCCAUCUCACCAAUCUUGGAACUCUGUUUCAAUCAUUUUCAGAGAAAAAAAUAAAUUUGAGCUGUUCAGAGGAAAAAGAAGGUGGUUGCUCUCCAACUCACUAUGAUUGCCUAAUAUUCCAGGAAGCCCCUAUUGUCAUGUUACUGCACGGAACUUGGAAGCACAUGUGUUUUUUUGCAGCUGGUCUCGUCCAUGGAAGAUACAUUUGCAGCCAGCUUUCUGAUGGACAGGACAGAAUAGUUCAAGGUGAACAAUUCAACAAGAGGAGGAACAUAAUUGAAAACAGCGUCAUUUUUCUCAUCUUCUUGCCAGCGAUCACGGUUUGUUCUACGAGCCGUACGUGGAGGAAGGUCUGCCCCUUUUAAGAGAUGCAAAAUGCCAUUGCAUCAGGACUUCAACAUGGGAUUCCCUAAAGCACAUGAAGGUCUUGACAGAAGCAGCUUAGGAUUCGUGCAGAGGCACACAUGGACACCCAGUCCAGUGAACCAUGUCAUGGUAGGCAGGGAAAUGACUAUUACCUAACUGAGUACUCUGGUAACACUAUGCCUUAAGAGAAAGGUCAGCAAGGGUAUAUAAAAGCUGCAGCACCCUCUCUUGACUGAAAAUUUUAUCUAAUAGUUACUUGUGGUCAGUGAUAUUUUAUACAGUGUUUGUACCACACCAGCAUGGAUCAUCAUUAAAUUAUAGAAAUGUAGCUCCUUGGAGAUCUGUUGCAUAGUGACGUAAACACUAAUCUAGAGCAGCAUCAUCAUUAAAUUAUAGAAAUGUAGCUCCUUGGAGAUCUGUUGCGUAGUGACACGAACACUAAUCUAGAGCAGCAUGACGUGGAUACAUGGAUGAUGGGCAUGCAUAACUGCAUGGAUGAUGAGGCAUGGGGACAGACAUCCUUCCAUACUCAACAGGGUUCUUGCAUUUCCCUAGCAUGGUAUGCAUCAUAAAAGAAAACUAUUGAUGGUUGACCUCUGCAGGUUGCUCAUGCAAGUGAAUCUUUCUGCACCAAAUCAAGUAUUAAAAAAUCUCACAGGACCAGUGCAAUCAGAGGCUUGCAGGACACACUUGGAAUAUUUUCUUAGUCCCUAUUGCUCUUGUUUUGGUAUUCAGUACAAGUUCACUAGAUCAUCAUCCUGCAAAUUCUCUGGGAAGGGUUUGAAUCACAGGAAGGGAAUAACAUGAGCGAUCAAGCAGUGGAAGCUUGAGAUGAACUACUACAUGGGGACAUCACGAGGCACAGCAAAGAACAAAGUUUCCACCUGAGGGAUGAAUGAAAAGAAAUCUACUCUUCACACCACAGUAAUGAGUGCUGAGGUUUCAGUGGUAGCAGUGGUUGCACAGCAAUAAGUCUCGGAACGAGAAGCAGAGACAUGCACUUGGCAAGUCUUGUGUGGUGGAGAUAAGGGGAAGCACUCUGUCGUCGGCUUUUGCAGGUACAGAUGCGGUCAAAUUCAGUGAACGAACGCCGACAGUUUCGUCACAACCAUUCGUCACCCAAACAAUAGCAGGAAGCCGUAUGGCCGUCAGAUUCUUUCUUCCAUGAGCGGUUGGCCGCUAUCUUUGACAGUCUUCAACGCAGAUGCCGAUGGCUUCCUCUUAUGAGACGCCCUCACUCAUCUAUACGUAUGUCUAUAUAUUAUACGCCUAACAUGACACGUGGAUAAUAGGUGCCACAUCAAUUCCGUGUCAUUGACCACAUCACCAUUGAAUCUCCAAGAGUUUCAACUUUAGCGUCGGAGAGACUCGGUCAUGCAUCCUACUCGACUCUAAUCUUUGUACGAAUCGAUAUCUUGGCGAAUACUCAAGUGAUCAUCUCGGAUGCCUCAGAUUUUAUUCGUCGGUAUUAGUUUUUACAAGAUAGAUGUGUAAACUAGAUCUCCAUCCGAUUCGUCGGUAUCAGUGAUGUGCUCCUAGUAGUGUUUCCGAUAGAAGAAGAGAUUAAGACAAGACAAAUAGGCAUAUCAGCAUAUAAAGUACGAAGUGAUCAUUGAUCAAACACAUGAUGAAGAAAUAACAAAUAUGGUGUCCACCUUCUUGUCUGGUUAUGUACCUAUUAUGUGUUGAAUAUGCGUACAUAUGGAUAGCAAA